AACGAAAAACGCGUUGAUGUCUGCGUGAAAGGUGCUUACGUACUCGGCUCCGAGCCUCUCCUCUCCUCUCCUCUCUUCUCGUCCCCUCCCCUCCGCUGACCUUGCGCAGAAGCAGAGCCCCUCAUCCCAAAAGCAAACCCAACCCAACCGUGGCUCCGAGGGAAGCCUUCCUUCCUUCUUCCCUCUGCCCAGUGAUGGAUACAUGACAUCCAUCGGCGCGCCUGUCUGCCCACGGAUUCACAGAUCCAUCGGCGCCGCAUCUGUGGUUUGUUUUUGCGGCGGUUUCUGUUUCUCAGAUCUACAAAUCCUUCACAUGCAUCUAAUCUGUGAAUGUUGAUGUUUCCGUCUUGGCUUGCAAUAACGGAUCUAUCCACUAUGCGCAGGCAGAAACAACGGAUCUAUCCACUAUGCGCAGGCAGGCAGGCAGAAACAACGGAUCUAGCAUGCCUGAUGGCGAGCGAGUUGAGACGGGAACUUUGUUCUUAAUUCCGCUUUUACUCUUUCUCUAUAUAAUAUACUAUGUAUGUUUGGAAGAUCUUCAUCGCCCCAAGCGGAGCGGAGCUGAUCCCUUUGCUUGUUUGUCGUCGAUUGGUUGAUUUGAUUGAUUGUCGUGGUAUCCCAUCCCACAGAAAAAACGAGUUAUAAUUUGCUCUGCGUGAUUUCAGUAUGCUUUGCCAUCCCACAGAAAAUCAGAUUUGCAAUCUCUGUUUAAUUUUACAAGGCAGUCUCCUGUUUAAACUUUACAGAAUUUUAGCUCAACAUUUCAACAAAAUUUUACAGAAUUUCCUGCAGAUUGCAGACACACUUCAGUCAGGCUUGUAAUCAUUUGUUGCUUCACGGCUUUGGAGCACCAUGUACGUACUAUAUAUGCUCCUGCCACUAGUCUUCCAUUCGACAGAGUCAUCGACCUACUUUGACUGAUGUUUAUCAGCAACCCAGUUAAUAAUACCGAGUUGAAUGUGGUGCCCGUAUGUGAAUUCAUUCAUACCGAAUUUGUGCUCCACGAAGAUGUGUGGACGUGCAACCUCUUGUAAUGUCUGACUUUCAUGCUUCAUCAUGCAGAUGCGGUGUACAUUCAUCAUUCAGGAAGUGGUGUUUUAUUAUUGCAGCUCAUGACUAAACUAUUUCUAGUUGCCUUGCUCAUGUUUCAUCUCAUAAAACUAGAGGCAUGCUACACAGAUGAUGCAAUACUACCCGUUGGAAAUUAUCAUCUUCUCAUUCAAUAUUUAUAUGUUUGGUUUGUUGGUUGGCAAGACAGCACGCAAGAGAGGAGAGAAUCAUCUUUGCCUGGUGGCCUUUGGAGGACCUUGCAAACCGACCACAUGUUAAGUAAUCACCUCCCCUUUUUACUCUGUUGGUAUGAAUGAAUUUGGUUCCUUUUUUUUUUUGAAAUUGAAUGAAUUUGGUUCCUGACUCAUGUACUAGUAUUCUCUUCUAGUUGGUCAUAUUAGGCGCUUCUAGUAAUUUCUUCAUUGUUUAAAAGUAGGACCCAAAUAAUAUGAUCUCACAUAUAAUCACUAGCCUCAAGCCUCAGCCGCUAACAAGAUUAUGUAACCUUAGAGGAUGGUAGCCCUCAUACAAUAGUUAAAAGCAGCCUCUCGGACCCCUUCUCUUGUUGAAGGACAAAAGCUACCGGUGUGGGCGCUUUUUUCAAGGACCUUGUUGCUUAGAUCAACAACAAGCUCAGUUUUUUAAAUUUUGUUAGCGCACACAGUUUUCAUUGGAUUCUUCACACCCGAUGGUACUAAACAAGCAAAAAAAAUCUGGUGAAAAUAUGUCUUCAGUUCAGAUGUGGGUGCUCCGUAGCCUCAUUAGCUAAAAGAGGUUGAUGAGACCUGCUAAGAUCGGGUUAGUUUUGCACCUUAGCUGUAACUGUAAAAUAAACUGAGAGACGUAGUAGAUGCAUAGAGAAAACUUGAGGAAUAUCCCAUGGAAGCUAGCUCCCAGAAAAAUCAGAGCUAUCCUAUCUCUGUUGUUUCCUAUGGGACUAUUUAACAGAGUGGGUGGGAAAUAGAUUUUGAGAAAGCGAUUCCUAUUUGGAUGCCAUCUAAUCUAACAGUCAAUACAAACAUUGUACUCCCUCCGUUCCCUUCUAAAUGUAAGCAUUUUUAGAGAUUCCAAUACGGGCUACAUAUGGAGCAAAUGAGUGAAUCUACACUCUAAAAUAUGUCUCUGUACAUCCGUAUAUAGUCCGUAUUGAAAUCUCUAAAAAAGCUUAUAUUUAGAAACAGAGAGAUAAAAGAUUAAGCAUGUUAUUACUACGGCUACUACAACUUGUGGGUAAGCUCGUAGAUUUUCACCAAGUUAUGACCCUAGUUAAUGUUCAAAAAACAGGUUUGCGUAAGUGAAGCGGAAUGCCACAGCUAAGAGCCUAAGAGCAACUGAAGCAUUUUUUUUAAAUGGCCAGGAUUUGGCUGUUUUUGAAUAACAAGCACAGGAGAAUAUGAAACAUAGCAAACGGCUAAUUGAAAUAGCAUAUAAUAUGCAGUUCACACCAUAGCAAAUGUACACCAGGUUCACACAGGAAGCAAAAUAAGUAAAUACCAACUAAAAUGCACUUCACACUGUAGCAAAUACACACCAGGUUUAGGCAUAUUGUAAUAGGAUAAAUUGCACAUGGCCAUCAUUGUGCAAGCAGCCAAGCAUUGUAGUUCAACAGCAGGCAAAUUCUAGAGUUUUAUUUGCUAAAUAGGGAAUAAAUGUAUGACCUGCAAAUAAUCAUAAAUAUCUUGAGCUCAAGCCAACAAUCAGAAAGAAUCCUGCAAGUAAAUUUCAUCACAAGUGGAUAGUAACAUUGCAGGCAGGCAGGGCAAAAAAUUCAUCCAUCACAGGAGGAUCAAUGUAUUAAUACCAUGACAGAGAUAAGCAAAAUCCAGGGCAUUUAAUCAUCCAUCAAUCCCUCUCUCUCUCUCUUUGGUCGGUCUAUUGUAUGGGCUUGAAACGAGUGAGGCCGAGGCUGCCUCAUGGAGCGUACCUUGCCUCGUUGUGGCGCUUGCCGCGGGAUGAUUUCUCGGCCUUGAUCUUUUUGGCACCCGCCUUGGCUCGCUGCUUCCUCUCCUCCGCCUCCGCCUUUGGGGCCUCCCUCCUCUCGGCGGCGGCGAGGUCGCUCACCCGGCGCAGAUGGGGAUGUGCUUGUUGAUCCAUUCCUGCGACUCGUACCCGCGGAAGCUGCAGGUUCGGCAGAUGUAGAAGGGGCGCAGGGGCCCACCGUAGAGUUCCGCGCGCCUCUCCUGGCGGCGACGACGACGCCGCCGAGGCUGGCCCAUCGCCGGAUCUGCACCGCCGCCGGCCAUCGCCUCCUCUCUCUCUCUUGAGGGACGGAGUUCAGUUUUUUUUUUUUUGAGGGCUGGGACGGAGUUCAGAUCUGAAACGACGGGAGCCCCUCUUGGGCCGAGGUCCAGAAGCGAGCGAACCUUGGGCCGACGGCCAGUGAGGCUGAAGCCCGUGAAGAAAUAAUUGAUGAAAAAGAAAAAGAAAACACCUCCCACGCGUCGCCUGCUGCCUAUUUUGAUGUGGAUGGAUUAUUUAGUAUUUGUUUUCCACUCACGAGUCACCACCACUUCUCGACUCUGCCUAUUCUGUUUUCGUCAAGCGUUUCCCUCUCACCGUGGUCAUAUUCGUCCUUCUUCUUUGAUAAAUAUAAUAAUAAAACAAGUUGUCAA
rnacentral:rRNA from 1 species